rnacentral:rRNA from 1 species
GAUGAACGCUGGCGGCGUGCUUAACACAUGCAAGUCGAACGGUGAAGGCGGAGCUUGCUCUGCUGGAUCAGUGGCGAACGGGUGAGUAACACGUGAGCAAUCUGCCCCUGACUCUGGGAUAAGCGCUGGAAACGGCGUCUAAUACUGGAUACGAGCUGCUAAGGCAUCUUCAGCAGCUGGAAAGAAUUUCGGGCAGGGAUGGGUGCGGGGCCUAUCAGCUUGUUGGUGAGGGAAUGGCUAACCAAGGGGUCGACGGGUAGCCGGCCUGGGAGGGGGACCGGCCACACGGGGACUGAGAAACGGCCCAGACUGCUACGGGAGGCAGCAGUGGGGAAUAUUGCACAAUGGGCGAAAGCCUGAUGCAGCAACGCCGGGUGAGGGAAGACGGCCUUCGGGUUGUAAACCUCUUUUAGCAGGGAAGAAGCGAAAGUGACGGUACCUGCAGAAAAAGCGCCGGCUAACUACGUG